rnacentral:rRNA from 1 species
AUUGAACGCUGGCGGCAGGCCUAACACAUGCAAGUCGAGCGGAGCGGCGGACGGGUGAGUAAUGCCUAGGAAUCUGCCUGGUAGUGGGGGAUAACGUCCGGAAAGGGGAGCUAAUACCGCAUACUAUCAGAUGAGCCUAGGUCGGAUUAGCUAGUUGGUGGGGUAAAGGCCUACAAAGGCGACGCGCCGUAACUGGGCUUGGAGUAUGAUCAGUCCCACUGGAACUGGGACACGGUCCAGACUCCUACGGGAGGCAGCAGUGGGGAAGAGUGGACAAUGGGCGAAAGCCUGAUCUAGCCAUGCCGCGUGUGUGAAGAAGGUCUUCGGAUUGUAAAGCACUUUAAGUUGGGAGGCGUUACCAACAGAAUAAGCACCGGCUAACUUCGUGCCAGCAGCCGCGGUAAUUC